rnacentral:rRNA from 1 species
UACAGAGGUCUCAAGCGUUGUUCGGAUUCAUUGGGCGUAAAGGGUGCGUAGGCGGCGUGCUAAGUCAGGUGUGAAAUCUCGGGGCUUAACUCCGAAACUGCAUUUGAUACUGGCGUGCUUGAGGACUGGAGAGGAGACUGGAAUUCAUGGUGUAGCAGUGAAAUGCGUAGAGAUCAUGAGGAAGACCAGUGGCGAAGGCGGCUCUCUGGGACGGUACUGACGCUGAGACGCGAAAGCGUGGGGAGCGAACAGG